GAUCCUGGCUCAGGAUGAACGCUAGUUACAGGCUUAACACAUGCAAGUCGAGGGGCAGCAUGGUCUUAGCUUGCUAAGGCCGAUGGCGACCGGCGCACGGGUGAGUAACACGUAUCCAACCUGCCGUCUACUCUUGGACAGCCUUCUGAAAGGAAGAUUAAUACAAGAUGGCAUCAUGAGUUCACAUGUUCACAUGAUUAAAGGUAUUCCGGUAGACGAUGGGGAUGG
rnacentral:rRNA from 1 species